rnacentral:lncRNA from 1 species
CUGCUGCCACCGCUGCUCAGUAGUCCUCGGAGGAGCCAUGAUGAAAAUGGCAUUGCUGUCCCAGCUUGCAAUUGAGAAGCCAAGGCUCAGAGGUGAACUGGCUCAAUGUCCUCGAAGGAAAGAAAACUUACCUGAGCCCCACGGCCAUUUCCAGAGCCAGCACAGAGCUGGAGCCAAGGAACACUAGGCCAGUCCUGCCAUUCUACACUCCAUCCGGACCGGUUAUGUCCACAGCUAAGCACCCA